CAUUUCUUCAGUGCCUACAGGGUACACCAUUAGAUAUGUUCUCCAGACUGAGGAGUCUCCUUAGGAGAGAGAAUGUAGUACAUCCAGAGACCAGAGAGAGGCAGAAAGAAGCUGGCAUUCAGUCUCAGCGUACAAUAGGAUUAAGAAAAUGGUUCUGUCGGAGGCAAAAGACUGCAAUGGAGCCAUCAUCCCACCCAACCCUCCUCACCAAGAAGGAGGUGAAGAAAGAAAUAGAGAGGCUGACCACGAAGCUGCAGCUUGCGACAGACCAAAGGAAUCAGCUGCGAGAUUGUCUGCUCUUCAUCACGGAAGGGACCGUAGAUAAUAGGCCCUACCACCAGCCAAAUCCUUUCUAUCACAAACUGAGGAUGGAGCAUAAACGAGUCAUGAAGGAACUGAACACCUUGCAGAAUGAGAACACCGAGGCUUCAAAGAAGUUCAGUGAGCAGACCAAGGAGACACUCUUCUAUCGUGGUCUGCACAGCCGGCUCCUGAUGGAACAAACUCAGCUGGAGAAGAAGGUGGGCAUGCUGAGGCAGGAGAAAAUGAAACUGCUGGAGGAUUGGGUCCUGCUGAAGCACCAUUCAAAGGAGUUGAAAAUGAUCUGUGAGGACCAAGAGGAGAAAACCAGUGACCUCAAGACCCAGCAACGACAGGUAGGUGGGUAAGGCUAAGAGUCUGGCACCAUUUGCCCAUUUGACUGCCUGUCUGCCCAUCCACCCACUCAUCACCUUACUCAUCCAUGCUCCCAUCCAGCCACUUCUCAUGCCAUCCAUUUCAGUGUCCAUGCACAAGUACUUCUGGGAAGUCAGCCUCUUCUGAGAAACUGAAUUAUUGGCAAGCAAUCCCCUGCUGCUCUGCUUGAAGCUGCAGUCCAGUGUAGGAGAUGGGUCAAUAACCUAUAACACACCUACAUGUCAUUAUUAUAGGUAGGGUUCUGUGCCCAGAGCUUUGAGUGAGUGAGUUAGUUCUGCGUCCUGGGGCUCAUUUGCUUGGCAAGGCUCAUAUGAGAUCACAGGUGGGAAGUAGUUUGUAAGGAGGAGAUCUCUGUGCACAUGCCAAAUGAGUGCUUCUCAUUUCUUGGAUUAGGGUGGCAUGUGGCCUUCUCCUUUCUUCCUGCAUCCCAAUGUGUUCUCUUCAGUUUGCCCAGCUCUUGGUUCACAGGGACAGAAGCCUGAGUAGCAGGUUGUCAGCCCUGUUUUCUGUGAGUGGUGCUCACAGUUCUCCCAUCCAGGAGAAUAUAGUCUGGGGUUCAUUGGAUGAUCAGCUGGAGGCUUUUCACAAGAUGAUGGUGGAAGAUGAGAGAUUUGGGACUACAGGGGCAAAAUUUUGUUAACCAGCUUCCUAUUGUCUGACCAAAAAAAUCAUGUUUCCCACAGCAGUAUUAGUCCCCAAGAAGUGAUGGCCAAGUGGUGAGACUCUUCUUAAAGGGCUAGUAUGGAGCUUCAAAGAUUGGAGGAAAGAGUUCAGUUCUGGCUGAAGCAAAAGGAUAUGGUCACCCAAAAAAAGGACUUGGCAGAAAAGCUGCACCAUUAAUUUGAAGGCUCCCAGAUGAGGUCCAGAAAGCUCCGGCUGGAACAGGCCACAGCCCAGGGUGGGAGCCCCUUGCAGAGGGAGGCUCUACAGCAAGAGACACCUGCUGAGCCCCAUUCCCAGCAACCGCUGAAAUCUGGGGAUGAAGUUUCUUCUUCAGAUUUGGUUUCCACUGUGGAAUAGGCCUUGACUGUGCCUAGCCAGUGACCCCACCAUGGCUACUUCUGGGUCUCGACUCUCUUUCCUUCUUGACAACACCUUUUGUGAGAACUGAGGAAGACAAAGGAAGCCACAGACAACUAGAGAGCAUGGCAUUCACCACCCUUGGAUCUAGGCCUCCUCAGAAAAUGACACCUUUUUGUAGCUGUGAACUCAGAAGGAGCAAAAUCCCUUACCCUUGGGGAGAACAUGGCAUAGAAAGCCCCAAAGAGGAGUGGCUAUACUCCUCUUGAAAAUGCUGUUAUAAUUGGUGACUGUCUUCCUAGCAUGUCUCCAAGGCCAGCCACAGGUUGUAGAUCUGUGCUAUUCAAUCUGCAGUGAGAGAAUGCUGCUUAUCUUAAUUUUUCUUUGAUUUUUGGUUUAGGAUUUUGGGUUUUUUUGUUGCUUCGGUUUGGGUUUUAUUAAUUUGAUGUUAUUUUUCAUAAUUUGCUAAGGCUAUUUACUGUUUAUAUUGACUGCCCUUUUAGAGCCCCUUUUGAGAAAAAAUGUAAUUUUUUGAAUAAAAAAAAGCUAUUUUCAACUCUUCA